UCCACGGUGGCUCACUGGUAAAGAAUCUGCCUGCCAAUGCAGGAGACACGGGUUUGAUCCCUGACCGAGGAA
rnacentral:tRNA from 1 species